UGGUGGCGAUGCGCUUAGGGGACACACCCGUUCCCAUCCCGAACACGAUGGUUAAGACCUAAGCGGCCGAUGGUACUCCGCUGGAGACGGCGUGGGAGAGCAGGUGGCUGCCA
rnacentral:rRNA from 1 species